rnacentral:misc_RNA from 1 species
AGCAGCCGCGGUAAUUCCAGCUCCAAUAGCGUAUAUUAAAGUUGUUGCAGUUAAAAAGCUCGUAGUUGAAUUUCGGGACCAAUUUGUUGGUCGUGCCUCGGUACGUACUGGUAUUAUUGGUUUCUCCCUUCUGAAGAACCAUGAUGCCAUUAAUUUGGUGUCGUGGGGAAUCAGGACUGUUACUUUGAAAAAAUUAGAGUGUUUAAAGCAGGCAUACGCUUGAAUACAUUAGCAUGGAAUAAUGAAAUAGGACGUUUGAUUCUAUUUUGUUGGUUUCUAGGAUCGACGUAAUGAUUAAUAGGGAUAGUUGGGGGCAUUAGUGAUUCAAUUGUCAGAGGUGAAAUUCUUGGAUUUAUUGAAGACUAACUACUGCGAAAGCAUUUGCCAAGGAUGUUUUCAUUAAUCAAGAACGAAAGUUAGGGGAUCGAAGACGAUCAGAUACCGUCGUAGUCUUAACCAUAAACUAUGCCGACUAGGGAUCGGAUGAUGUUAAUUUUUUAAUGACUCAUUCGGCGCCUUA